rnacentral:rRNA from 1 species
AUGAAGCUGGAAUCGCUAGUAAUCGCGGAUCAGAAUGCCGCGGUGAAUACGUUCCCGGGUCUUGUACACACCGCCCGUCACACCAUGGGAGUCGGAAAUGCCCGAAGUCUGUGACCUAACCGUAAGGAAGGAGCAGCCGAAGGCAGGUCGGAUGACUGGGGUGAAGUCGUAACAAGGUAGC